UACGAAGGGGGGCUAGCGUUGUUCGGAAUUACUGGGCGUAAAGCGCGCGUAGGCGGUUUUGCAAGCCAGAGGUGAAAUGCCUGAGCUCAACUCAGGAAUGGCCUUUGGGACUGCGAGGCUUUGAGGACUGGAGAGGUGAGUGGAAUUCCCAGUGUAGAGGUGAAAUUCGUAGAUAUUGGGAAGAACACCGGUGGCGAAGGCGGCUCACUGGCCAGUUUCUGACGCUGC
rnacentral:rRNA from 1 species